GUGACGAAAAUUUUCAACUUGGCUAUCAUGUGUAAAAUCAGACAAGUGUUCGGUAAACAGGAAGUUGUCAAGUGAUGAAUCUGAAAACGCAUCACACGGUGUGGCUGACAUAUAUAAAUGUUGAUACCAAAUUACAGAAAGGGUGGAUGUGUAGUUCCUGAGAAAAAUGUGACGAAAGUUUCAUGGGACGGACUGACUGACGGACUGACUGACGGACUGACUGACGGACGGACGGACUGACAGACAGAGGUAAAACAGUAUACCCCCCCUUUUUUAAAGCGGGGGUAUAAUAAAGGCAACAGUAGUAUACCGCUGUUCAAAACUCAUAAAUCCAUGGACAAAAAACAAAAUCGGGAUAACAAACUAAAACCGAGGGAAACGCAUUAAAUAUAAGAGGAGAACAACGACAUAACACUAAAAUGUAACACAUAUAGACAAAAUCCCACGAGAAUAACAAAUAUAACAUAUAUAUAUAUAUAUAACAUCAAAACCAAAUACAUGAAUUUGGGAUAGACAAGUACCGUGACACGUCUUAUCGCAAUGUGAAUUUACACUAAAAAAUAAGAGAAAACAAACGACACAACGUUAUAAUGUAAUACACACAGAAACGAACUAUAAUAUAACAAUGACCAUAUUCCUGACUUGGUACAGGGCAUUUUUAAAGGAAAAAAUGGUGGGUUGAACCUGGUUUUGUGGCAUGCCAAACCUCGCACUUUUAUGGCCAUGUGAAAUAUAAC
rnacentral:lncRNA from 1 species